rnacentral:rRNA from 1 species
UAUAAGUUUAAUCGUUUAUCGAGAAACCGCGAACGGCUCAUUACAAUGGCCAUUAUUUACUUGAUCUUGAUUGUCUAAAUGGAUAACUGUGGAAAAGCUAGAGCUAAUACAUGCACUAAAGCUUUGUCCUUACGGAAAAGCGCAUUUAUUAGAACAAAACCACGCGGCUUCGGCUGCUUCUUGUUGACUCAGAAUAACUUAGCUGACCGCAUGGCCUUGUGCCGGCGGCGUGUCUUUCAAGCGUCCACUUUAUCAACUUGACGGGAGCAUAAUCGACUCCCGUGGUGGUGACGGAUAACGGAGGAUCAGGGUUCGACUCCGGAGAAGGGGCCUGAGAAAUGGCCACUACGUCUAAGGAUGGCAGCAGGCGCGCAAAUUACCCACUCUCGGCUCGAGGAGGUAGUGACGAGAAAUAACGAGACUGUUCUCUUUGAGGCCGGUCAUCGGAAUGGGUACAAUUUAAACCCUUUAACGAGUAUCAAGCAGAGGGCAAGUCUGGUGCCAGCAGCCGCGGUAAUUCCAGCUCUGCAAAUACAUAGAAUUAUUGCUGCGGUUAGAAAGCUCAUAGUUGGAUUCGUAUCGAUACCUUGGAACCCUUCGGGUGUCUCUAGGUGUUAUCGAUUUAUCGUAAUGUUCGGUUUUGAGUCCUUAACAGGAUUCUUAACAGGCAUUGCAAGUUUACUUUGAACAAAUCAGAGUGCUUCAAACAGGCGUUUUCGCUUGAAUGAUCGUGCAUGGAAUAAUAGAAAAUGAUUUCGG